rnacentral:lncRNA from 1 species
AUUCAUCAAUGGGAUUUGUGAUGAACCUGCCUUGGAUUCAAAGGAUCAUGCACAAUGGAGUAGGUGCAAUGACAUGGUAACCUCAUGGCUUUUAAAUUCUCUAACUAAAGAGAUAGGAGACAGUGUAAUCUAUUCCAAAUCUGCAAAAGAACUUUGGAGUAGUCUUGAGCAUAGGUUUGGACAAUCCAAUGGAGCCAAACUCUAUCACCUACAAAAGGAAGUUGCUAAGACAGUUCAGGGAAAUAGCAAUAUUGCAGCAUACUUCACAACUCUGAAAAAAUUAUGGGAUGAGUUAGAUUCCCUGAACUCACAUUUAAGGUGCACUUGUACCUGUGUGUGUGAAGGGAAGAAGAAAGUAGCCAAGUUCCUGGAGGAUCAGAGAGUCAUCCAAUUUCUAAUGGGACUGAAUGAUGUGUAUGCACCUGCAAGAGGCAAUAUUCUCAUGAUAAGCCCUCUUCCAAGUAUGGAUCAUGCCUAUUCCAUCCUCCUGCAAGAUGAAAGUCAGAGGGAAAUGUUUGUUAGCCCACAAUAUCCAACAGAUGGUGCAUCUUUUAUGGUAGGAGCUCAAGGGAAGUUUAAUCAAAGAAACAAUAUUCAGAAAUCAUGGGGAACUCCUCAGAAACAGGGGAACUUUCAGAACAUGCAACAAAAGUUCAAAAGGAAGGCGAAAUACAAUCCUAAUGUGAGUUGUGGUCAUUGUAUGAGAACAGGGCAUGUAAGGGAAGAUUGCUACAGACUAAUAGGAUUCCCAGAUGAUUUUCAAUUCACAAAAUCAACAAAUCAGCCU